rnacentral:rRNA from 1 species
UAGGGAAUCUUCGGCAAUGGACGAAAGUCUGACCGAGCAACGCCGCGUGAGUGAAGAAGGUUUUCGGAUCGUAAAACUCUGUUGUUAGAGAAGAACAAGGACGUUAGUAACUGAACGUCCCCUGACGGUAUCUAACCAGAAAGCCACGGCUAACUACGUGCCAGCAGCCGCGGUAAUACGUAGGUGGCAAGCGUUGUCCGGAUUUAUUGGGCGUAAAGCGAGCGCAGGCGGUUUCUUAAGUCUGAUGUGAAAGCCCCCGGUUCAACCGGGGAGGGUCAUUGGAAACUGGGAGACUUGAGUGCAGAAGAGGAGAGUGGAAUUCCAUGGGUAGCGGUGAAAUGCGUAGAUAUAUGGAGGAACACCAGUGGCGGAGGCGGCUCUCUGGUCUGUAACUGACGCUGAGGCUCGAAAGCGUGGGGAGCAAACAGG